GGAGAAGUAGCUAGCUAGCUAGCUAGGCUGAGAAGCACCAUCUUGUAAGAAGAGAGAGAAGCAAGGAUACUCGGUAAGUAUUAUUUUAGAAAACCAUUAGCCUAGCUCUUUAGAACAGAAGACUCAAAAUCGAUAUGGUAAUAACCCUAGACUUAAUUUAAUUUUAUACAAUAUAUAGUUUGUCAAAUGUUUCAAUGUAACCAAUUGCUAUAGAUUGUAAUUACUCUUCAAUCACAGUUAUAGUUAUUCUCUAUGCUUGGACAUGAAUGCCCAGUUGACUAAAUUCUAUAUAUGCGUAUCAUUUCUGGAAAAAGUCAUAUAUAUAAAUAUACACCAGACAGCUGAACUGAAUAAGCCAAUAAGGGAAGUCGUCAAUGUUGUUUUUUAAGCCUGAAAGGUCAAACGACUAUAAAAUAGAACUUCAACGCAGGUUAAUUUUCAACAAAUUCUCUGAACUCGACCUGAUGCUUGAUACCUCUGAACCCCUGGAUUUUUGCAUUUCUUUUUCCUCAAAAACUUUAAUUUGUUUAAUUAUCUUGCAAAUAGCUAGCUAUGUAUCCUUAAAUGAGUCUCACAACUUGUCUUUCUCAAAAGCGUGUGUGUGUGUGUGUGUGUAAACAAUUUGUCCUUGUUUAAUCAGGCAUGUAGGCAGAAAGAACAAAAGUCAAUAACAAUAGGCUAAAAGAGUGGCCAAUUAUUUCAAGUUGAUGCACUAGCUAGGGCAACUAAAUUAACACAUCCUAUAUAGCCUGGCAGUUUGAAAAUAUUUCAGUAUAACGAGAUAACAUGUAUUGAUAUAUCUGUAUGUUUUGCAAAUUAAAUUUGCUAGCAUUUUAACAUGACUUGCUGCUGUGGUACUGCAGAAGUAGAUUGAUGAUCAUUCCGCACGCCGAAAACGUCGAGUCCAAUAUUGAUUUGAUGUAAAAUGGGUCGCAUAUGGCAUGAUUUAUGGGAUUCAAAGAUUCAAUCAUGGAGAAAAGACUGCAAAUUUUCCUUUUUCACAUGAUAUAUAUCUCAAAGCAAUCUAUUCCAUUGCGUGCUGAAGAUAUCGUAAAGUUG
rnacentral:lncRNA from 1 species